GGUCAAACAUUAGCUAGAUUUAGAACUCUUUCUCAAGUAAUAUACUUGGUCAAACGUACUUUAUUUCUACUAGUACUAGCAAAAUAACACCCAAAUCUUUUCACCAUUUCAAGCGGUCUAUAUAUGCUUAGUCAACAACAUAAUUGCAAGGGAACUCAAGGAUCAUGUCUUCUAAUCAAUGUGUAAGCUGCCAAUUGAAAAACUUGUAGAAACUUCUCGAACGGAUUGGAUCAGUGAACUGAAACAACACCCAACCCCCCCCCCCCCAAAAAAAAAAAAAAAAAUUAGGAGAGAAAGAAUAAGAAUUAGUGCAUACAUCAUAUAAGAACAAAACCUAAAAUUUAAUUAAUCCAAGUACUUACCAUGGCAAUAAGCGCAAGUAGAGCUGGAAUUGCAGUCAUCAGAUGAGCGAUACCUUUGACAUAAAUUCGUAGCAGGACUGUAGCAACUAUUAAUAUAUAGAAAAGCACCAUUGAAACGGCAACUGAAUCAUAGUACAUAGAUACCAACUUAUACGUAGAAAUAAUUAUAAUAUCAACACAACAAAUGUCUAUAAAACAGCCAUUGAUCUGCAUAUUAUAAUUUUCCUUUGAUAAAGCGUAGGCAAAAGCAAUUACAUGAAAGGCCACAAGAGUCACCAUAUUCAUAAGGAGGUGUUGUGCGAUUAUCUUCUCUAAAUGUUGGCUAUAUUUGCACAAAAAGAUACAAAGAAUUUGCAGUGUAAUAAGAGUAGCAAAUAAGAAACAAUUUUCAUGACCCUGGGAAUCCAAAUGCAAGAUGCCAUAAAAUAUCUUAAAGAGCAAAAAAUAAAACCCACAUGUCCAUGCGUUUAUCCACAUCACUUGACCUCUUAAUUCUCUAGCCAUCGGCUUUAGCUUUUUCUUAACCCUAAUUA
rnacentral:lncRNA from 1 species